rnacentral:rRNA from 1 species
CCUACGGGCGGCAGCAGUGAGGAAUCUUCCACAAUGGGCGAAAGCCUGAUGGAGCAACGCCGCGUGAAGGAUGAAGGCCUUCGGGUUGUAAACUUCUUUUAUGAGUGAAGAAUAUGACGGUAACUCAUGAAUAAGCACCGGCUAACUACGUGCCAGCAGCCGCGGUCAUACGUCGGGUGCGAGCAUUAUCCGGAGUGACUGGGCGUAAAGAGUUGCGUAGGCGGUUUAAUAAGUGAAUAGUGAAACCUGGUGGCUCAACCAUACAGACUAUUAUUCAAACUGGUAAACUCGAGAGUGGUAGAGGUCACUGGAAUUUCUUGUGUAGGAGUGAAAUCCGUAGAUAUAAGAAGGAACACCGAUGGCGUAGGCAGGUGACUGGACCAUUUCUGACGCUAAGGCACGAAAGCGUGGGGAGCGAACCGGAUUAGAUACCCCAGUAGUC